rnacentral:misc_RNA from 1 species
GGAGGGUGUUAGGGUUUCCAAUUCCGAUUCUUCACCUGCAAAUUAGGACCGAAGAAGAAAGAGAAAGAUGUGGCAUGAAGCUCGGAGGUCGGAGAAGAAAGUUCACGAUAUGAUGGACGCUGCUCGUAAGAGAGCUCAAAGACGGGCCAUCUAUCUCGCUAAACGCCGUGGUGAUCCUCAGCAAUCCAUUCAAGCCAUCGGCUCUCGUUGUCGUAUCUACCGCGACGACGCUCUUUAUCAAGCCACCGAGGAUCAGCAGGGAAUGAUACCUUGGAAUGGGAAACAAGACAUUUUGAUUGACAGAUUUGAUGGCCGUGCUCUUCUUGAUUUCAUUCGUGAUCCUAGUUCUCGACAUCGUCGGGCCCCAGAAAGAACAGAGGAAGA